rnacentral:rRNA from 1 species
GUGGAUUAGAUACCCGGGUAGUCCACGCCGUAAACGAUGAUAACUAGCUGUCCGGGUGCAUGGCACUUGGGUGGCGCAGCUAACGCAUUAAGUUAUCCGCCUGGGGAGUACGGUCGCAAGAUUAAAACUCAAAGGAAUUGACGGGGGCCUGCACAAGCGGUGGAGCAUGUGGUUUAAUUCGAAGCAACGCGCAGAACCUUACCAGCGUUUGACAUCCUGAUCGCGGUUACCAGAGAUGGUUUCCUUCAGUUCGGCUGGAUCAGUGACAGGUGCUGCAUGGUGGUCGUCAGCU